rnacentral:ribozyme from 1 species
CGCUCUCUGAGUGGCGGAAUGGAGGAAAUGAUGGUGCCGGUGCCUGAGAUGGGGGACAGCAUCACGGAAGGGUCCAUCCUGGAGUGGACGGUCGGGGUGGGGGA